UUAAUUCUUGUCCAUUUUAAUAAUAUGUGUUUACCAUAUGUGUUAUGACGUAUAUUUUGAGGAUAUCGCUAGGGGCCCGUAAAUAGGGUCCAGGACUUCACCGUCCUUGGGUUGCCACAAUGCGAUUUGAGGUAUAUUUUGAGGAUGUCGCCAGGGGCCCGUAAAUAGGGUCCGGGACUUUAAUAGUCCUUGGAUUGCCACAGUGCGAAUA
rnacentral:lncRNA from 1 species